UGUCCUCCAAAUAAGGACCAGUAUGAAUGGCAACAUGAGAAAGAAACUGUCUCUCUAGGCUAGCCAAUGAACCUGAUCUGCCCGUACAAACGCAGGCAUACAAAAACAAGACAAAAAGACCCUGUGAAGCUUUAAAUGUGAGUCAACCUAAUGACCAACACAUUUUUGGUUGGGGCAACCAAAGAGAAAUAUAAACCUCGAACCAUCACACGGCCAACUAGCCAACUGACCAAAUACUAAGACCCAGUAUUACUGAGCAAAGGACCAAGUUACUCCAGGGAUAACAGCGCUACAUUCUUGAAGAGUCCACAUCAACAAGAAUACCUACGACCUCGAUGUUGGAUUAGGGUACCCAGAUGGAGUAAAAAUUAUCAAUGGUUCGUUUGUUCAACGAUUAAAAC
rnacentral:rRNA from 1 species